GAAAAUUCGGCCAAAUCCAAAGGGUGGAUUUUUGGGUUCAUGUUUGACUUGUUAAAAGUGUUUUCAAGUAACUUUUUGAGUUUUUCAUGAAUGUUCUUCAUUGUUCUUGAUAUUUUAGCCAAGAACAAAAAGUUUGGUGUUUUGAUUCAAAGUUUUGAUUUAUUUCAUAAAGUUUUUGUUUUGUGCUUUUCAAAUGUUUAAAUGUGUUAGAUAUUUAUUUAGAAAGGUGAUAGAAAUAUUGAUGGGUGUGUAAGGAUUAAUUCCCUUUCACACACCACUUGCAUGACUUUUGUGUCAUGCACCUCUUACAUGACUUUAUGUCAAAACUACAAAUCAACACACACAUCACUCCCUUUAAUAUCUAAAACCGGCCACCCUAUUAAAAUAGGGUACUUUUGUGUAUUUGCACUUUGGCCCAAAAGUUUACAUUUUUACAUAAAGGCCCAAAAUCAUUAAAGGACAAAUUGUUUUGUUCCUUUAAUGAAGUUUUUGAAUUUGUUGAAAUUUUUGGGUUCUAGUUGUAAUUACAUGAAGUAGUGAACUUUUGUGUUUUUACAAAGUGAGCUCAAAAGUUUAAGUUUUGCAACAUAGCCCAAAAGUUGAGGUUAUUGCAUUUUGGCCCAAAUUAGGUUGAGAACAAAAUGGUUUUGUCUCUUAAAAUGAGAAUUGGAUUUUCAUUUCAUUUAGCUCCAUUUAAAUCAAUUCUAUGGAAACAAAAACCAAAUGAAAAAAAAUUGUUGCAUUCAAGUUUAAUUAGUUAAAGCGUUAAUUAAUUAAAGGGUGAUUAUGAACCUAAGCCUACGAUA
rnacentral:lncRNA from 1 species